CCAGCACAGCCCGCAUGAAGCCUGGUCUGGACUGAAAUGAUAGAGAUGGGGAAAACAGCGGCUUAAAAAUAAGAGACCGCAAUGACCAUUGGACAAAGUAGACACCGGAUCAUCUGCAGCGGGUACCUGGUACUCGGACAAAGAAAUCCAAUACCAGAGGCCGGAACUAGCCUGUCAUACAUUUGUGUGCAAGACAUGAUGAGAGCGCCAACCUCCUCUAAAGCCUUACCUGAAAAUAUGAAGAACAUUGCUUAUUAAUGGGCAUGCUGCUCACAACAAGUUCAUUUUGUAAGAAUGCCUAUGAUCACACGCUAAUAGGCAACUGCUCUCUCAUAACCUGUUUACGCAGAUGCCAAAUCUGGCCAAUCCUUGCAUAUUCAGGUACUGCUCUGUUAUAUAAUAUACUAUGUACUGUAUGGCUUUACAACACCAGGUGUGAACAUCACAGAGACUUGGAAAAUGGCUUAAAUUCAGCAAGACACUUGCACUAACUUGGUUUAUAUUCAUAUUUCGGGAUUAGUGAAGUGUCUGGUGUCUGGCAAUAGCAUGCCGACAAAGCAUAAAUAAGCAGGCUAGUGCUUUUAUUAAUCAUCAUCAUCCUAAAGAAAAUAUGUGUCAAAACAAUAGUUGAACAACAACCGUUUUAACCAUUUGCAGCAUAAACACUGAACAAGUUGCACCAUUAGGCUGGUUUGUAUUAGGCUGGUCUGGCGUGUUGCUUAUAAGAAAAAUUGAUGUAAUAUUUCACUGUAAGCACUAAAACUCAGACAUAACAUGUAAUCUAAAGUGUUUUGGUAAAUAUCCUCAGAUGGUUAAUAGAGAAACAUGCUGAGAAUGCAUAGGAAAGUCCAUUUUAAUGUCAACACUGAUUAAAAAAUAGUUAUUCUUUUAACGCAAACGAAAACAAAAUGUUACUUGGCUUCAUUAAACAAUGCGUUUCAUGAAUUAGGCCUGAAUUAGUGCCUGUGUUUGGCUGCUCAUAUGGGUGCACCGUACCCCGGCUAAUUCCGCUUCUGAGCGAUUCAUUUGAGGAUGACAUGUAAUUAUUAUCAAUCAUUCAGAUAAUUCUCAUAAUUUGGUUAUCAUGUGUAUAUAUGGCAUUUCAUAUGCGCUUGAUUGUGCAUUUCCUGGAGCACGUUUUUCACGCUAUUAUUCCCUCUGUCAAAUAAGUUACAGUAGCCCACAAGUUAUCUGCAUCGUGAUAAUUGCUUUGCACUGCAGGACAAAAAUACUUCUUUUCUGUUUGGUAUUUUGAUUGGUUUUCCGUAGGCACCGUGGUUGUAUUGUGCACAACGGUCUCACCAAAAUAUUGACAUUGAAUGUGUAAUUGUUUGAUACCUAUCCCUUCCUCAUUCCUUCCCUAUUGAAGUUUUAGUGGCACAAACAGGGGGAUUGGGUUGUGUUGGGAAUUAUCUCUGGAUAACAGAGGAGCAGGGGGUGGGGGUACUGCUGGCAACUUGGCAGAGACAGUAGGGGAUAAACAGGUGUUGUCAAGAGUUGUAAGUGCAUUCAGCAAUGUGAAGGCUGUGAGUUAGUGAAAUGAUAAUUAAAUUGUGGAAUGGGAAUCACGCUUUCUGAUUUUCCCCAUGUUUUUUAAACCAUGUUUUACAACUUUAUUGACUUAAUCACAAUAAACAGUUACAGUAUAUUCUCCACAAAAAGCUGUGUCAAAACUAGGUAGAGACCCCCUUGUGUCUCACUUGGAUUUCCUGGAGCAGCUCACAGUUUGCUUUUCCACCUGAGACAGAAAGUUGACAUGCACCUGUGACUGAGGGUGCAGAAGGCUACUUUGGAAGCCAGAUGUACAAAAAGAAAAAAAAACAA